CAGCUGGUAGCGGCCAGUAAGGAGGCUAGUGCCAAGAUUCAGGAGCGAAAGGUUGAGGCCUGGAAUAGGGCCGAACCCCGAAGGCGGUUUUGAGGUAGAAACUACGGGCCUUGCUUUGGAGUUGGGGCGUGGGGGUGGCGCUGGGUCUUGGCGCCUCGGUUGGGUGCGUGUUCUCCUACGCGCCACUAGGUGGGGCUGUCAUGGAAAGGAGGCCCCGUCCCUGCUCUCAGGAGACUUACAUUCCGCCAGGAGAAAGGUAGCGUAGCCCGCGAGGGCUGCAGUGCCUGUGCACGCAGGAACUCCCAAGAUAAAUGCACGUGGUGGUAAGUGCUCCGAAGAGAUUACACAGGGCGGGGGGGCGGGGGAGUGGCCUGGGAGACGUGGGAGCCACGACCUCAGUGCUAAGCAGGAGCCCGCCAUGCAGUAUUGCCGCCCUUGCUUCCCCUCAAAAGGUGGCAAACGCCUGCACCCCCUGCACCAAACUAGCCAGCGAGGCGCGCUUGGCCUCCCUUCGAGAAGGGAAGCAGCGGUCGGGCCGGGGCGGAGGAGGGCCGGGCGCCAGAAGGGCCUUUGGGCUUGUACCGUGCAGGUGCCUGGGAGAUAAUGAAGCGGCGCUGACCCGGGCUGUGGAGGCCAGAGAGGCCUGCCACGGCGUCUGGAAGAACAUGGCACUUAGAAGAGGGCACAGGAGGACAAGCCAGCCACCACGGCGCGAGAAGAAGCCGCCGGAAAGGAUACGCGAGUUAAUUUUUCUGCCUCUGAAAUAACAGAUGAAGCUGGGAGAGGUUGGCUGUCUCCACGUUCAACCUAAAGCAGAUUCCGUGGGAGCAGCUUGGAUUGGUGGGAAAAGCCCUGGGAUCAGACUCAGAGUUGAAGUUCCACCUGCCUAGCUGUGUGACCUUGAGAAGUGACUGGCCCUCUCUGAACUUCGGUGUCCUCAACUAUGGAAUGGGCACGGUAGGUGGGUUGGACCUUCAGUAGUGAUUUUCUUUCUUAAACUAGCAAAUGGGCUGUCACCUUGUGAAAUCAUUUUUCACUUUAUAAAGAGAGUUGACACAGAACCCGUGAACUUGACCUUCCAUUUGUAACACCUGCAGUUUCUCAAGCAUGCAGUCGCUGCAUGGACACAUGAGAAGACCUCCCACACCUGGAGAAGGCUUUCAUCUGUAUCCUAUCCUCAAGCUUCAGUUUGCUCAUCUGCAAAGGAGGGAUGUCAAUAAGGAUUGCUAGCUGUCUGAGUUGUAUUAAGAUUAACUGAGCAGGAGUUCCUGUCGUGGCGCAGUGGUUAACGAAUCCGACUAGGAACCAUGAGGUUGUGGGUUCGAUCCCUGCCCUUGCUCAGUGGGUUAACGAUCCGGCGUUGCCGUGAGCUGUGGUGUAGGUUGCAGACGCGGCUCAGAUCCCGCGUUGCUGUGGCUCCGGCGUAGGCUGGCAGCUACAGCUCCGAUUUGACCCCUAGCCUGGGAACUUCCAUAUGCUUCAGGAGCGGCCUAAAAAAAAAAAAAAAAACAAAAAAACAAAAGAAAACAUUAACUGAGCAGUUUAGAUGCUUUUGUUAGCAGUGCAAGUAACAAAAUCCCCAGCUUAAAUUGAAGAGUGUCUUUAAGUUUCCUUAGAUUGUAUGGUCUCACAUAAGAGGCAGUCCAGAUGGGUUGGAUCCAAUGUUGUCAUCAGAAGCAUAGGUUCUUCCAAACUCUGCUCUGCCGAAUGGACGGAUGGCUCCAUUCUUCCUUCUCAGGAUGAAAACAAGAUGGCACCAGGAGGCCCUAGAAUCGUGAUCAAACAUAGAAACAUCUCUCAGAGGACCGGGGCCUUUCCUGCAGCACAGUUUUUAGGAAGAAGAAAACUAUGUUUAGCAGCGGGCCUGCCCUCAUAUUGAUCUGUCCAGAGUUCCG
rnacentral:lncRNA from 1 species